rnacentral:rRNA from 1 species
AGAGUUUGACCAUGGCUCAGAACGAACGCUGGCGGCAGGCUUAACACAUGCAAGUCGAACGCUCGUAGCAAUACGGGAGUGGCGGACGGGUGAGUAACGCGUGGGAACGUGCCCUGAGGUACGGAAUAACUGAGGGAAACUUCAGCUAAUACCGUAUGAGCCCGAGAGGGGGAAAGAUUUAUCGCCUUGGGAGCGGCCCGCGUCGGAUUGGCUAGUUGGUGGGGUAACGGCCUACCAAGGCUUCGAUCCGUAGCUGGUCUGAGAGGACGAUCAGCCACACUGGGACUGAGACACGGCCCAGACUCCUACGGGAGGCAGCAGUGGGGAAUCUUGCGCAAUGGGGGCAACCCUGACGCAGCCAUGCCGCGUGAACGAUGAAGGCCUUAGGGUUGUAAAGUUCUUUUACCCGUGACGAUGAUGACGGUAACGGGGGAAUAAGCUCCGGCUAACUUCGUG